rnacentral:lncRNA from 1 species
CAUAAACCUGAACAUGUUAAUGUGCAUUCUGUGGGUAACCAUAUAUCAGCUGUCUUUCCUGCUGUACGUGUGCCUGCAGGAUGGAGGCAAUGGAGCAAAUACCCUGAGAUGUUCUGUCAGACAUUGCCAUGCAACUCCUUCUCUCUGGCAGACGUGUUGCUCUUCAUUAUCACUUUGUCAAUCUGUAUAGCCCUUAGAUACCCAAGGGCAGUAUGGACACAACUUAAAGAUGGAGCAGGUGCUCUGAUGCCUUCUUGAGAAGGAUCACAAACGCUUCCAAGGGAUGUCUCAGUCCCCAUCUUCUGCUGCAGAAUAAGUGUCUCAAGAUCUGUUGUUUGCCGUGCUUCAUCGAGGUCGUUACAAAUGUCUGCUGGAGAGAUAGGAAGUUGUGGAGCAAAUGAGAAGGGACAGCACUGUCCUGUCAUUAACACGUUCAGAAGAAGUCGGAUAUCCCAGCAAGAUCACAGAAUCACAAGAGUUGGAAGGAACCUCAAGAGACUAUUGAAUCCAACCCCCCUGCUAAGGUCUGACCAACAGAAGGAGUGGCUGCAGUGCAUGCUGUGCCUUUAGUGCACUCCUCAACACGGCACCCAGAAAAUCAAAGUGUGGAAACUGACAGAAUAACCAUUGUGUCGCCCUUUAGCAACUAUCUGCUAAAACAUGGAGGUCGUUCUAUGAAGCAGCCUUCCUUCUAUCUGAGUGAGAGGUAACCAGUUUUGGGUAGCAGGAUUUUUACCUGCCCUAAUCAGCCCAAGAAUGGGUGAUCCUUCUACCUAUAGCUCUUCCUUGGCGACUGCAUACACAUACCCUCAGCCUCUCCCCAUCAAACAGAUUGCAACAAGUGUCAGGACUACAGGGUUUUCGUAUACUCCAUGAUCAUCGGAACACCUUGCAGGGAGUGCGCAGCGAGGAGUACACCUGAUUGAAUGGUAGAGGCAAUGACAUUUUAUAUAUAUAUA